rnacentral:lncRNA from 1 species
AUGAAAUGGGACGCUUCUCUUCCAGCUCCUAGUCUUUCCUUUCCUGUUCCCUCCAGCCACAACUGUGUCGCAACCAAGUCUCUCCUUCUCUCUCUCUGUCACUGCCUCCUCUCUCCUUCUCUCUCUCUGUCACUGCCUCCUCUCUCCUUCUCUUUCUCUGUCACUGCCUCCUCUCUCCUUCUCUUUCUCUGUCACUGCCUCCUCUCUCCUUCUCUUUCUCUGUCACUGCCUCCUCUCUCCUUCUCUUUCUCUGUCACUGCCUCCUCUCUCCUUCUCUUUCUCUGUCACUGCCUCCUCUCUCCUUCUCUUUCUCUGUCACUGCCUCCUCUCUCCUUCUCUUUCUCUGUCACUGCCUCCUCUCUCCUUCUCUUUCUCUGUCACCGCCUCCUCUCUCCUUCUCUUUCUCUGUCACCGCCUCCUCUCUCUUUCUCUUUCUCUGUCACUGCCUCCUCUCUCCUUCUCUUUCUCUGUCACCGCCUCCUCUCUCCUUCUCUUUCUCUGUCACUGCCUCCUCUCUCCUUCUCUUUCUCUGUCACCGCCUCCUCUCUCCUUCUCUUUCUCUGUCACUGCCUCCUCUCUCUUUCUCUUUCUCUGUCACUGCCUCCUCUCUCCUUCUCUUUCUCUGUCACUGCCUCCUCUCUCCUUCUCUUUCUCUGUCACUGCCUCCUCUCUCUUUCUCUCUCUCUGUCACUGCCUCCUCUCUCCUUCUCUCUCUCUGUCACUGCCUCCUCUCUCCUUCUCUUUCUCUGUCACUGCCUCCUCUCUCCUUCUCUCUCUCUGUCACUGCCUCCUCUCUCCUUCUCUUUCUCUGUCACUGCCUCUUCUCUCCUUCUCUUUCUCUGUCACUGCCUCCUCUCUCCUUCUCUCUCUCUGUCACUGCCUCCUCUCUCCUUCUCUCUCUCUGUCACUGCCUCCUCUCCUUCUCUUUCUCUGUCACUGCCUCCUCUCUCCUUCUCUCUCUCUGUCACUGCCUCCUCUCUCCUUCUCUUUCUCUGUCACUGCCUCCUCUCUCCUUCUCUCUCUCUGUCACUGCCUCCUCUCUCCUUCUCUUUCUCUGUCACUGCCUCCUCUCUCUUUCUCUCUCUCUGUCACUGCCUCCUCUCUCCUUCUCUCUCUCUGUCACUGCCUCAUCUCUCUUUCUCUCUCUCUGUCACUUCCUCCUCUCUCCUUCUCUUUCUCUGUCACUGCCUCCUCUCUCCUUCUCAUUCUCUGUCACUGCCUCCUCUCUCCUUCUCUCUCUCUGUCACUGCCUCCUCUCUCUUUCUCUCUCGUUCUAUCUCUGGGCUCUGGCAGAGUGCCUUUCAAUUCUCUUCCUGUUGCUCUUUCAAUCCGGAGUGGAAUGCAGGAAGAGGGUUCCACUGCCUCAGUCUUUGUGGGCUCUGUGUCUCUGUCGUUUACUGUAUAAUGAGUUUACAGGGCACUGUAAUGUGA